GAGGGUAUAGCUCAAGUGGUAGAGCACGUGCUUAGCAUGUGCGGGGUCUUGGGUUCAACCCUCAGUACCUCCU
rnacentral:tRNA from 1 species